GAUGAUCCUAGAUGCCUAAGUAUGCAAAAUAAG
rnacentral:sRNA from 1 species